UACGGGGGGUGCGAGCGUUGUCCGGAAUCACUGGGCGUAAAGGGCGCGUAGGCGGCCGCCUAAGUCAGACGUGAAAUCCCUCGGCUCAACCGGGGAACUGCGUCUGAUACUGGGUGGCUUGAAUUCGGGAGAGGGAUGCGGAAUUCCAGGUGUAGCGGUGAAAUGCGUAGAUAUCUGGAGGAACACCGGUGGCGAAGGCGGCAUCCUGGACCGAGAUUGACGCUGAGGCGCGAAAGCCAGGGGAGCAAACGGG
rnacentral:rRNA from 1 species